rnacentral:rRNA from 1 species
UACGAAGGGGGCUAGCGUUGCUCGGAAUCACUGGGCGUAAAGCGCACGUAGGCGGCUUUUUAAGUCAGGGGUGAAAUCCCGGAGCUCAACUCCGGAACUGCCUUUGAUACUGGGUAUCUUUGAGUCCGGAAGAGGUGAGUGGAAUUCCGAGUGUAGAGGUGAAAUUCGUAGAUAUUCGGAGGAACACCAGUGGCGAAGGCGGCUCACUGGUCCGGUACUGACGCUGAGGUGCGAAAGCGUGGGGAGCAAACAGG